rnacentral:ncRNA from 19 species
UCAGUCUUUUUCUCUCUCCUAU